AGAGUUUGAUCCUGGCUCAGAUUGAACGCUGGCGGCAGGCCUAACACAUGCAAGUCGAGCGGUAGCACAGAGAGCUUGCUCUCGGGUGACGAGCGGCGGACGGGUGAGUAAUGUCUGGGAAACUGCCUGAUGGAGGGGGAUAACUACUGGAAACGGUAGCUAAUACCGCAUAAUGUCGCAAGACCAAAGUGGGGGACCUUCGGGCCUCAUGCCAUCAGAUGUGCCCAGAUGGGAUUAGCUAGUAGGUGGGGUAACGGCUCACCUAGGCGACGAUCCCUAGCUGGUCUGAGAGGAUGACCAGCCACACUGGAACUGAGACACGGUCCAGACUCCUACGGGAGGCAGCAGUGGGGAAUAUUGCACAAUGGGCGCAAGCCUGAUGCAGCCAUGCCGCGUGUGUGAAGAAGGCCUUCGGGUUGUAAAGCACUUUCAGCGGGGAGGAAGGCGUUAAGGUUAAUAACCUUGGCGAUUGACGUUACCCGCAGAAGAAGCACCGGCUAACUCCGUGCCAGCAGCCGCGGUAAUACGGAGGGUGCAAGCGUUAAUCGGAAUUACUGGGCGUAAAGCGCACGCAGGCGGUCUGUCAAGUCGGAUGUGAAAUCCCCGGGCUCAACCUGGGAACUGCAUUCGAAACUGGCAGGCUAGAGUCUUGUAGAGGGGGGUAGAAUUCCAGGUGUAGCGGUGGAAUGCGUAGAGAUCUGGAGGAAUACCGGUGGCGAAGGCGGCCCCCUGGACAAAGACUGACGCUCAGGUGCGAAAGCGUGGGGAGCAAACAGGAUUAGAUACCCUGGUAGUCCACGCCGUAAACGAUGUCGAUUUGGAGGUUGUGCCCUUGAGGCGUGGCUUCCGGAGCUAACGCGUUAAAUCGACCGCCUGGGGAGUACGGCCGCAAGGUUAAAACUCAAAUGAAUUGACGGGGGCCCGCACAAGCGGUGGAGCAUGUGGUUUAAUUCGAUGCAACGCGAAGAACCUUACCUGGUCUUGACAUCCACAGAACUUUCCAGAGAUGGAUUGGUGCCUUCGGGAACUGUGAGACAGGUGCUGCAUGGCUGUCGUCAGCUCGUGUUGUGAAAUGUUGGGUUAAGUCCCGCAACGAGCGCAACCCUUAUCCUUUGUUGCCAGCGGUUCGGCCGGGAACUCAAAGGAGACUGCCAGUGAUAAACUGGAGGAAGGUGGGGAUGACGUCAAGUCAUCAUGGCCCUUACGACCAGGGCUACACACGUGCUACAAUGGCAUAUACAAAGAGAAGCGACCUCGCGAGAGCAAGCGGACCUCAUAAAGUAUGUCGUAGUCCGGAUUGGAGUCUGCAACUCGACUCCAUGAAGUCGGAAUCGCUAGUAAUCGUAGAUCAGAAUGCUACGGUGAAUACGUUCCCGGGCCUUGUACACACCGCCCGUCACACCAUGGGAGUGGGUUGCAA
rnacentral:rRNA from 1 species